rnacentral:rRNA from 1 species
CAACCUACCUAUCAGAGGGGAAUAACCCGGCGAAAGUCGGACUAAUACCGCAUAAAACAGGGGCACCGCAUGGUGAUAUUUGUUAAAGAAAUUCGCUGAUAGAUGGGCAUGCGUUCCAUUAGGUAGUUGGUGAGGUAACGGCUCACCAAGCCGACGAUGGAUAGGGGAACUGAGAGGUUGGUCCCCCACACUGGUACUGAGACACGGACCAGACUCCUACGGGAGGCAGCAGUGAGGAAUAUUGGUCAAUGGGCGAGAGCCUGAACCAGCCAAGUCGCGUGAAGGAAGAAGGAUCUAUGGUUCGUGAACUUCUUUUGCAGGGGAAUAAAGUGCGGGACGUGUCCUGUUUUGUAUGUACCCUGAGAAUAAGGAUCGGCUAACUCCGUGCCAGCAGCCGCGGUAAUACGGAGGAUCCGAGCGUUAUCCGGAUUUAUUGGGUUUAAAGGGUGCGUAGGUGGUUUGAUAAGUCAGCGGCGAAAGUUUGCAGCUUAACUGUAAAAAUGCCGUUGAAACUGUCGGACUUGAGUGUAAAUGAGGUGGGCGGAAUGCGUGGUGUAGCGGUGAAAUGCAUAGAUAUCACGAAGAACUCCGAUUG